ACGAGCAUUAUACUGCCAUAAAUUUCUUAGAGCUGAUAAAAUACAUACUGCGCGUUGCAAGCUCCCACUUCCUGAGGAACAGGAACUCCAUGAGAUCCGCGGCAUCCGCCGUCCCGUUCAUCUGCACAAAAAGACCGUAAUCCUUCUUUUUCCUCUCCUCCCCAUCCGCGGAGUGUAAAUCGUCUCUCGCUAGCGCGUUCAGUAGAAACCCUAAACCCCGCCUCCUCCCCUCGCCGGGGUAGGGGCUACGGGUGUCAACGCCCGCCAUGGACGCAUUCCGGAAGCAACUGGAUGUGCUCAUGGGCGCUAACCGCAACGGCGACGUCGAGGAGGUGAGCCGCAACUACUACGACCGCGACGUCUGCCGGCUCUUCCUCGCCGGCCUUUGCCCCCACGACCUCUUCCAGCUCACGAAAAUGGAUCUUGGUCCUUGUUCUAAGAUUCACUCGCUUCAACUGCGGAAAGAUUAUGAAGAAGCGAAAGCAAAGGGAACAGAGAAUUUUGACAGAGAACUCGAGGAUAUGAUAGAAAGGCUCAUUGUGGAGUGCGACAGGAAAAUUCAGAGGGCCCUGAAACGACUUGCGGAUGACGAUGCCAAGGCUGCUAUUGCGAUAUCCGUCUCGGAGGUUACUCUGACGGAUGACAUACUGCAGCUGUCAAAACAGAUCAAGGAAAAAAUGGUAGAAGUUGAUGCCUUUGAUUUUGAAGGGAGAACUGAUGAUAAAAUAAAGGCCCAGGAAGUAGUGGAAGAACUCAGAACUAAAAGAGCUGAUAUGCAGGCUACCCUCUUGCUUGAUGCUUUUAACAAGGACAGAGCUUCAUUAACUCAGCCUGCUCAACCUCCUCAAGUGGCGGCAGCGCCACCACCAGCUCCACCCGAUGCUCGUACUCAAGAAAUGAUCAAUGAAAAGCUUAAGAAAGCUGAAGAGCUUGGGGAACAAGGCAUGGUUGAUGAAGCUCAGAAAGCUUUGGAAGAGGCAGAAGCUCUGAAAAAGCUGGCGCGACGUCCGGAGCCACCUUCAGACCCUUCUAAAUAUACUGCCGCUGAUGUUUGGAUUACCGAUCAAAAGUUGCGCCUCUGUGAUAUAUGUGGAGCAUUUCUGAGUGUAUAUGACAAUGAUCGACGUCUUGCUGACCAUUUUGGAGGGAAACUGCAUCUAGGCUACAUGCUGAUUCGUGACAAACAGAAAGAACUUCAGGUGCUGAGUGUAAUGUACCGUUUUCUGCUUUAAAGAGUUACUCUGUUUUGGGCCUUUUGGCAUCUGUGAGUUUUCUUAUCUCAAGAGCCUCAAGGUUCUCACCUUCCCUCUAUAUAUUAUUUGAUUCUCACAUUGCCGGGCACUAUGGUUAUUACGAUAGUCAUUACAGGAAUUAGUCCAUGUCGCGUGAUUGGAAUCUCAUGCGAUGAUCUUCAUACCUAUGGCUACAACAGUCACUGUCUGUUGACAAAUGUAAGCAUAGGAGCGUGCGGACCAUGGUAUGAAAAAAAUCAUGUUUACUUAAUUGUGACAAACUGCUCAUGUGUCUGCUUAGUAUCGAUUGUUGGGCAGAAGCUGGAGGUUGCCUUUUUACUGCCUGAGCCAUAUUAUGUAGACCAGGUGACAAAUAAUACUGGUUAAGUUAUCCUGAAAGCACACUUCUUUUGCCAACAUUUUGCUGUAAGUGACAACUUGUUCUGUUUUCUAUCUGCUACCUCCUCCAUAAGUUUGCAAGUUACAUUUUGCUGAAGCAACCUUGCCUGUAAAGUAUCGCCCGCCCUAUCUUUUGGAACGUUGUCUCUGAUUUUAAAUAUGCCAAAAUAUCAUUAUCUGUACUGUCAAUAAACAAAAUACACUGUGGCAUCUUGCAGGAGCAGAGAAACAAAAGGAGGACAGGCAAAACUGAAGAUGAUAGGCGAUCUAGAGAGCAGAGCAAGGAUCGAAACGGCCCGCCGUCCAGGGAUAGAGAUUCAGAAAGGAGAGACAGGGUUGAGUCUCGAGAUGGAAGAAGAGAUUAUGAUAGGGAACGCGAUAGGCGUCACGAUAGGGACCGUCGCCAUGACCGCGACCGGGAUAGGGAUUAUGACCGCUCCCGCGGAUAUGACUCAAGGAGAAGAGAGCGUUCACGCUCCAGGGAGCGCAGCAGGCGCCAUGAGAGAUACUAAAUGUUACUCCAUGGCUGACAGAUUUUGGAUUGCUGGCGUCUGUUCUGGUUUGUGUUGUGCUUUGUGUCUUAUCUUCCGAAGUUUCCUGUUCCUGCUCGAGAAAUCCGAAAGCCAAUCUGCGUUCUGCAUCAUGUCAUGUCCUAGUGUCGUACUGUUUAGUUAUAUGCCGAGAACAUCUCUUUCAUCAAAUGAAUAUUUGGAAACACCAACGCACUUGACGCUAAAUGGGAAUGAAGUGUGGAGUAUUUAAACGCC